rnacentral:rRNA from 1 species
UACGUAGGGGGCUAGCGUUGUCCGGAUUUAUUGGGCGUAAAGAGCGUGUAGGCGGCCAGGUAGGUCUGCUGUGAAAACUCGAGGCUCAACCUCGAGACGUCGGCGGAAACCAUCUGGCUAGAGUCCGGAAGAGGAGAGUGGAAUUCCUGGUGUAGCGGUGAAAUGCGCAGAUAUCAGGAAGAACACCCGUGGCGAAGGCAGCUCUCUGGGACGGUACUGACGCUGAGACGCGAAAGCGUGGGGAGCGAACAGG